rnacentral:rRNA from 1 species
AUUGAACGCUGGCGGCAGGCCUAACACAUGCAAGUCGAACGGAGUGGCGGACGGGUGAGUAAUGUCUGGGAAUCUGCCUGAUGGCGGGGGAUAACUACUGGAAACGGGCGCUAAUACCGCAUACUAUCAGAUGAGCCUAUGUGGGAUUAGCUUGUUGGUGGGGUAAAGGCCUACCAAGGCGACGAUCCGUAACUGGUCUGAGAGGAUGAUCAGUCACACUGGGACUGAGACACGGCCCAGACUCCUACGGGAGGCAGCAGUGGGGAAUAUUGGACAAUGGGCGAAAGCCUGAUCCAGCCAUGCCGCGUGUGUGAAGAAGGUCUUCGGAUUGUAAAGCACGUUCGGUAGGGAGGCGUUACCUACAGAAUAAGCACCGGCUAACUCCGUGCCAGCAGCCGCGGUAAUUC